rnacentral:rRNA from 1 species
UACGGGGGGUGCAAGCGUUGUUCGGAUUUACUGGGCGUAAAGGGCGCGUAGGCGGCCAGCACAAGUCAGUUGUGAAAUCUCCGAGCUUAACUCGGAAAGGUCAACUGAUACUGCGCGGCUAGAGUGCGGAAGGGGCAACUGGAAUUCUUGGUGUAGCGGUGAAAUGCGUAGAUAUCAAGAGGAACACCUGCGGCGAAGGCGGGUUGCUGGGCCGACACUGACGCUGAGGCGCGAAAGCCAGGGGAGCGAACGGG